AGAAUCAACGCUGGCGGCGUGCCUAACACAUGCAAGUCGCACGAGAAAGGGGCUUCGGCCCUGAGUAAGGUGGCGCACGGGUGAGUAACACGUGAAUAAUCUACCUCCGAGUGGGGAAUAACUGAGAGAAAUCUUGGCUAAUACCGCAUAAUACCCACGGGUCAAAGCAGUAAUGCGCUUGGAGAGGAGUUCGCGGCAGAUUAGCUAGUUGGCGGGGUAAUGGCCCACCAAGGCGAUGAUCUGUA
rnacentral:rRNA from 1 species